UAUGAUUAUGUGCUAUUUGUAUGUCGACAUAUAUGGAUGGGUUGGGUUGAGGCGGUGUCCUGCUUUGUGCGGUUGAGGCCAACAUACCCGGAGCGGUCUGGAUAGGCUGUAAGCCCGUAGGAGGUGGUCCAGUCAUGCCGAAGGCUCGAGAGUGGUCUAGAUAAGCUAUAGACCCGUAGGAGGCGGUCCAGUCAGGCUGAAGGCUCAUUAUGAAUGUUGUUAAUUAUUAUUCUUUUUGUACUGGAUGCUUGAGGUUGGUAUUUUAGGGGUAACUCACUAAGCCUUCGAGGUUACAUUUUAUCAUUUAUUGUUUCAGGUACAUCAGUUGACCAUGGCAAGGCGAAGGCGUGACGUACACAUUCCCGUUUUUAUGAUUAUGGAUUUAUGGGAACUCUAAUAUGAAAUUUUUUUGAAAACAAUUACAACUUGUUGAUGUUUGAAUAACUUUUAAUUGUGUAAGGAUGGUUUUUGGAAGGUUUGAAUUUCUUUUAAAUUUUUUUUGGGUUGUUACAAGUUGGUAUCAGAGCCUUGGUUUGAGUGAAUUAGAGGAACAUACAUGUGAAUCCAGUCUCAAAUCAAGGAAUUUUUUUUAAAAAUGAUUUUUGAAAUAAAAAUUUAACUUAAACGAAGGGGAUGAGGUGUGUACCGUCAGCCGGAGCCAGUAAGUAGACCCCAAAAUACCAUACUAUUAUUUGAUGUUAUGAUGUGUUAGAACCACAUGCUAGAGAUAGGCUAGGGAUCUUCAGGUUUUGCAUGAUAGAAUUGCCUGAUUAUAUGAUGUCUGUUAGCCUAGGGUUUUCCUUAUACGAAAUUGACAUCAUCACUAUAGUUGCUUAGUGUAUGCAUCAUGACCGUACAUAAUUAAGAUCUUAUAGCCUGAGAAUGUUUGAUUUGGCCUUAUGUUCUGUUCUUGUUUGAUUAGGAGCUUAGGGUAGGAUUGGAUAUUCUAAAGUCUAUGGGGUCCAGCGUUAUGUAUGGCUAGCAUACACUAGUGGUGCAGGGUUGGUGGAAGUUUCAUGGAUGGGUGAGUUGUAUGAGGUCGGGAGGCCAGUUAUGCGAUAUUUAGCCUUCUUUUAAGAGUGAGGAUCGAGCGUUUGCCAGUUUAUGUACACUGUGAGGGUGUUGUGGUGAUACUUGAGACAAAUAUGGGUAGGUGUGGAAGGUAGUAUGGGCCCGUACUACUAAAAGCACAGGACCCAUACGCGUAGCAAGGAAGUCACAACCCCUAGGGUAGGUUGGGAGUUGGUUCCCUGUUAGCAUAUAGGUUAUUCUAGAUCUUUCUGAUGUAUUUAUUGGUAUGUUUUUAUUAUGGUGAUGACGAGGCGCUUUGGAGCCACAUCCGGAUCAGGAUCAGGGACAGGAGUUGACGGGCAGGGGGAACCAGUACAGCCCGAGGUUGUUGUUCAGUUAGGCACGGAUGAGUUGGAUGCCAGGAUUCGAGAGAUCCUGCAUGAUGAGGUUGCCACUCUGUUUCGGGCACAGUUACCAGAGAUGUUCAGGUCUAUUAAGACUGCCAUGGUGGAGUACUUUGACGAGCGUUAUGCGGCUUUGGCUAAGAUGGCCGCGGCUGCAGCUACAUCGACUGUAACAGCAGCGGGAGGAGGAGCUGUUUGAGCCUUUCAGUAUCGGGACUUCAACAAUACGAAGCCCCCGAAUUUUGAUGGGACUCAGGAUCCGAUUAUUGCUAUGAGAUGGUUGUCCAACGUGGAGGGAUGUUUCUUCACAUAUUCAUGCCCUGAUAAUCAGAGGGUGAGGUGUGCUCUGAACCUUUUUACGGUCUGGGGCAAAGGAUUAGUGGAGAUUGGUUACUGGAUCAUACACUGAGGAGCAGCAAGCUGAGAUUUCUUGGGAUCAGUUCAGAGACAUGUUAAGUACCCGUUAUGUUCCGUGGGUGCAGAGGGAGAGACUGGCACAGGAACUCUUAGACUUGUGACAGGACAAGGAGUCGGUGGCAGAGAUUACGAGACUGUUUACUGAGAGGGCGAUGUUUUGCCCGGAGUUCGCGUAAGAGCAGGCACAGAUGAAUCGCUACCUGGGUAUGUUCAAGACGAAUAUCAUACAGUUUGUCGCAACGCAGAGGUGUAGUACGUUAUUGGAGCUCCAGGAGGCCACGAAGAGGCGUGAGCUGGAGACUGAGUUGCAGUUACGGGAGGCGAGGCAGGCCCCAGGUCAGGCGCAGCCGGCGCCGAAGCGGUUCAAAGCCGCAGAUUCUAGGUCGGGAAGGCAGCAGGCCCGCACAUAUGGGAAGUCCGGGAAGGUUCAUUCGGGAGUAUGUCGACUGAGUACUAGAUGCCACAAAUGUUGAAAUGAAGGACAUUACGCACGGGAAUGCCGCCAGCCCGCCCCUACUCCUGAUAUGAGGAUUUGCUAUCAUUGUCAUCAGGUGGGUCAUGUGAAGACCCACUGUCCGCAGUUAGCUGCCAGACCAGUACAGGCUCCAGCGCCGGCUACAUUAAUGAUCACGGAUGGGAAGCAGGGUGGUACAGAGCCUCCGAAGGCUCGGGGACGCGCUUUUCAGCUCACUGCCGAGGAGGCCAGAGCAGCACCAGAUGUGGUGGCCAGUAUGUUUCUAUACUCUUNGGAGGCUAGAGCACCACCAGAUUUGGUGGCCGGUAUGUUUCUAUAAUCUUCCUUGCUAUAUAUAUAUAUAUAUGAUUGUUUAUUCUAAAUUAUUGUGGGUACCUGUAUUAGGUAUGUUUUUAGUGAAUUCCUUGCCUGCCUUGGUAUUGUUCGACUCGGGUGCGAGUCGUUCGUUUGUUUCCCCAACUCUCGAUAGCAGAGUUGGUCUGCCUUUAGGAGAGCUCGAGCGUUCGUUAUUAGUCUCUAUUGCCAGUGAGCUUGGGGUUUCAGCUUCUUUAGUUUAUCGGGAUUACACAUUGGAAAUAUUUGGGAUACCUUUUUCGAUUGACCUGAUUCCCAUCCCCAUGAGGGAUGUCUGCGUGAUUGUGGGGAUCGAUUGGUUGAGUCGGUUCAGUGCCAUGAUUGACUGCGAAGGUCAGCGGGUUACAGUUCGAACCCUAAGUGGGGGUGAACUGGUGGUUUAUGGUGAGGGCACCAGAUCGGGUUUCGGAUUUUGUUUAGCUGCAAGGGCUCGACAGUAUAUUCAGCACGGGUGUGCGGGUUAUCUUGCGUACGUGGAGGAUAUGCGGGUCGAAAACCCCUCUCCAGUUUCAGAUGUCUCAGUAGUUAGGGAGUUCGCCGACGUGUUUCCAGAGGAGUUACCUGGAAUACCUCCGGAGAGGCAGGUCGAGUUCAGGAUCGACCUGGUGCCGGGUGCGGCCCCUGUGGCUAAGGCCCCAUACCGACUGGCACCACCAGAGAUGCAGGAGAUUUCGUCACAGUUGCAGGAGCUGCUAGGGAAGCAGUUCAUUCGUCCGAGCAGUUCUCCAUGGGGAGCCCCGAUACUCUUCGUAAGGAAGAAGGAUGGAUCUCAUCGGAGUUGAACAAAUUAACGGUGAAGAACCGUUACCCACUCCUAAGGAUAGACGACUUGUUUGAUCAGUUGCAGGGGGCAUCUUGGUUUUCCAAGAUUGAUUUGAGGUCCGGGUACCAUCAGGUCAGAGUACGGAAGGAGGAUGUGGAGAAGACGGCGUUCAGAACUAGAUUUGGGCAUUACGAGUUUGUGGUGAUGCCAUUUGGGCUCACCAAUGCGCCAAAAAUUUUCAUGGACCUGAUGAAUCGGGUUUGUACACCGAUGCUGGAUCGCUCGGUCAUAGUGUUCAUUGACGACAUCUUGGUAUAUUCCAAAACCUGAGAGCAACACGAGGAGCAUCUACGAGAGUUAUUGGGGGUUCUGAGGAAAGAACGGCUUUAUGCAAAGUUCUCGAAGUGCGAGUUUUGGUUACGAGCGGUUCAGGUCCUAGGGCAUCUCGUUAACCAGGAUGGGAUUUUGGUAGAUCCGGCCAAGAUCGAGGCCGUUAUGCGGUGGGAGGUCCCGAUCCCCCUUAGACAUCAGGAGCUUUUUGGGUUUGGCAGGGUACUACUGGAGAUUCAUUCAAGAUUUCUCUAAGAUUGCAAUACCCCUCACUUGUCUGAUGAGGAAGGGGGUGGAUUUCCGGUGGGGCCCGGAGCAACAAAGGGCAUUUGAGACUCUCCAGAAACAGUUGUGUGAAGCCCUAGUCUUGACCCUCCCCAAAGGGGUGGAGGAUUUUUUGGUGUACUGUGAUGCAUCCAUCACAGGAUUGGGAGCGGUUCUCAUGCAGAGGGGUAGGGUUAUUGCCUACGCAUCGCGGCAGUUGAAGUCGCAUGAGUCUAGAUACCCCACACCUAAUCUGGAAUUAGGAGUGGUGGUGUUCGCUCUCAAGAUUUGGAGACACUACCUUUAUGGGGUCCGCUGUACCAUCUACACGGACCACAAGAGCUUGAGGUAUUUUAUGGAUUAGCCGAACCUGAGUAUGCGGCAGCGCAGGUGGCUGGAGGUAGUCAAGAAUUACAACUGUGAGAUCCUUUACCAUCUUGGUAAAGAGAAUGUGGUUGUAGAUGCCUUAAGCCGCAAGGCGGUCGGACCACCUGUCCCAGUAUUAUGCAUGAGGAUAUCAGUGGAUUCUACACUCGUUAGCUUUCUCUAAGGAGCCCAGUCGGAGGGUAUGCGUCUAGAGAACUGGAAACUAGAGAGGAUAAAGGGUGAAAAUGCCCGGUUUGAGUAGGAUAUCCGGGGAUUUAUGACCCGUUAUGGUCGGGUCUGGGUUCCGAUGACUGGUGGAGUCAGGCAUAAUAUAUUGGAGGAGGCUCAUAAGUCUUGGUUCUCCAUUCACCCGGGAGCAACCAAGAUGUAUCGGGAUUUAUGUUUGAGUUAUUGGUGGCCGUGCAUGAAGCGAGAAAUCGCUGAGUACGUAGAGAGAUGCCUGACCUGUAGGAUGGUCAAGGCUGAGCAUCAGAGGCCCCAUGGGGAGUUGCAGCCUCUUGAGGUUCCUAUGUGGAAAUGGGAGUAGAUCGCGAUGGAUUUCAUCACCAAGCUGUCGAGGACGACAAGGGGUUUCGACACUAUAUGGGUCAUCGUAGACCGAUUGACCAAGAGUGCUCACUUUCUCGCCAUUCGGGAGGGAUCCUCAGCCAAGAAGUUAGCUGAGAUAUACGUCUGCGAGAUUGUCGCGGAUCAUGGAGUUCCGGUCUCUAUUGUCUCGGAUCAUGAUGUUCACUUCACCUCUCGAUUUUGGCAGAAGUUCCACGAGGAACUGGGCACACGACUGCAUCUCAGUACAUCUUAUCAUCCGCAUACAGACGACCAGAGUGAGCGGACCAUUCAGACACUUGAGGACAUGCUGAGGUCCUGUUUUAUCGAUUUUGGUGGGAGCUGGGACUCCUACCUACCUCUCGCGGAAUUCUAAUACAAUAACAACUUUCAUUCCAGUAUAGGUGCCCCGCCUUAUGAGCUCUUGUAUGGAAGGAGGUAUCGCACCCCGGUCUGUUGGGGUGAAGUGGGUCAUAAGGUUAUGGGUCGGACCGAGGUAGUUCUACAAACUACCGAGAGGAUUCAACAGAUCAGACAGAGACUUCAGACUGCUCAGAGUUGGCAAAAGAGUUACACUGACCGACGUUGAUCGGAGCUGGAGUUCCAGGUCGGAGACAUGGUGCUCCUGAAAGUCUCACCCUGGAAGGGUGUGAUCUGUUUCAGGAAGAGGGGAAAACUGGGUCCCGGUUUAUUGGACCCUUUCGGGUGUUAGCCAGAGUUGGCAAGGUAGCCUAUAGACUGGACCUUCCGGAAGAGCUCAGUCAGAUACACAACACUUUUCACGUUUCCCAGUUGCGGAAGUGCAUUUUGGAUGAGGAUGCAGUGGUAUCUCUGGUUGAUGUUCAGGUUGACAAGCACCUGAACUACGUGGAGCAGCUAGUGGCUAUUUUGGAAAGGAAAAUGAAAAUUUUGCGUAGCAAGGAAAUACCGCUGGUCAAGAUGCAGUGGCGGCACCGUAAGGGAUCCGAGUGGACUUGGGAGCCAGAGUCCGAGAUGAGGGAGCACUACCCAGAUCUUUUCGCAGCAUCCGACUUCGGGGAUGAAGUCUAGAUCAAGUGGGGGAGACUUGUAACGCCCCGAACCUUGCAGGUAUAUUUCGAAACCUGCCUUCUUUUGUUUAUUGUCUUUUAUAGCCCUUGGAGAAGUUAUGUUGAGUCCCGGGAAGUUUAGGAACCUAAAGUUGAAACUUUGGGCCAAAGGGAGGGGGGGGGGAGGUAAGCUAAGCGUACAUAAGAGUACGCUGGGCGUACUAGGUGCGCCGUAGUACGCUGGUCGUACUCGUGUUAGCUAAAAACCCUAAUAUUCGGAGUUGGGACUAUAUAAACACCCUUAUGGCUCAUUCUUUACCCUCACCUCAGCCUCCAUACCUCAAAGAACGCCCCAAAACCCUAGUUUGUGUGUGAAGAGUGAGUUAGUGUGCAUCUUGAGCCUUGGAGAGUGGAGUUAUUGCACCAAGAAGCUAGAGGAGGAAAGCAAGGCCUUGGAUCUGAAGUUGGGUUACACCAUUAGAGCUCCAAAAGGUAAAAAUAUUGAACCUUUAUGCUUAUUUACCUUAGAUCUACACUUUUUAGCUUUAUGAAGGUCUUUUGGUCCCUAGAUUUCCCAAGUUGAUGCAUGUGAAGUUAUAGACGAAAUAAGUUGUCCUUCCAGAUGUUUUUAGAGGCCUUGAGUGAUUAAAAUCAGUCCUUUUUAGCUAAACUUGAUCAAUGCAUGUGAUAAGAAGGUCUUAAUGGAUUAAGACUAUGAGUUAAGGACUUUUUGGACGUCCAAUGUGAUAAAGUCCGAAACUUUAUGAUUCUAUGGCAUAUUUGGUCGAUGGAUCUGGAAUAUGGGUUCAAGAGCUCAACCCAUUAAGCACUUAAUAAGACUUUGGUAAACCUGCGUGUACGCCCUGCGUAAUAUCUGUAUGCCCAACGUACGUGGUCAGCCGUCCCGAUGAUGGUCAACGAUGAACUACGCUACGCCCGACAUAACCGGGAGGUACGCCUCGCGUUCGCUCCCUGUUGGACUUUUGGCUUGUGGGUUUUAUGCUUUGGGCCGGUUAUGGGUCAAUUAGGUUAAUCCCUUAAUGGGCUAUGGAUGCAAUGCUGUUGGGCCAGGUUAGAACUGUAGGUUUCGUGUAGACCCAAUAGAGUGAUGGACCCAGUUUAAUAAAUUGGGCCAAUAAUAGAUUUGGACAAUUUGGGUCUAGUUGAGUAAUUCGUAUUCUUUUAUCUCUCAGUCGAGGGUGUCGGGCAUAGCAGUUGAAGACUCUCGGUUUAGUUCUGCACUAUUGCUAGGUAGGUUCUCCUCACUAUACCAACAGGGUCUACGACACUAGGUCGGUCCCUUGGGAUUUAUUCCCGGUGUUAGUAUGUGUUCCAUAUUCAUGAUCAGUUGGAUUGGUAUCUUGAUGGAUAGAAUGCUACUAUGUUAGCAGUUAGGAUGAUCUGUGUUUAUUGUAUGAUUAUGUGCUAUUUAUAUGUCGACAUAUAUGGAUGGGUUGGGUUGAGGCGGUGUCCUGCUUUGUGCGGUUGAGGCCAACAUACCCGGAGCGGUCCGGAUAGGCGGUAAGCCCGUAGGAGGUGGUCCAGUCAUGCCGAAGGCUCGAGAGUGGUCCAGAUAAGCUAUAGACCCGUAGGAGGCGGUCCAGUCAGGCUGAAGGCUCAUUAUGCAUGUUGUUAAUUAUUAUUCUUUUUGUACUGGAUGCUUGAGGUUGGUAUUUUGGGGGUAACUCACUAAGCCUUCGAGCUUACAUUUUAUCGUUUAUUGUUUCA
rnacentral:lncRNA from 1 species